AGUGCCUGCCCUUGUUGCUGACGAGCGGCGGACGGGUGAGUCAUGUCUGGGGAUCUGCCCGAGGGCGGGGGAUAACCACUGGAAACGGUGGCUAAUACCGCAUAAUGUCGCAAGACCAAAGUGGGGGACCUGAAAGGGCCUCACGCCCUAGGAUGAACCCAGAUGGGAUUAGCUGGUAGGUGGGGUAAUGGCUCACCUAGGCGACGAUCCCUAGCUGGUCUGAGAGGAUGACCAGCCACACUGGGACUGAGACACGGCCCAGACUCAUACGGGAGGCAGCAGUAGGGAAUAUUGCACAAUGGGCGCAAGCCUGAUGCAGCCAUGCCGCGUGUAUGAAGAAGGCCUUCGGGUUGUAAAGUACUUUCAGCGGGGAGGAAGGGGUUGAUUUGAACAGAGUCAAUUCUUGACGUUACCCGCAGAAGAAGCACCGGCUAACUCCGUGCCAGCAGCCGCGGUAAUACGGAGGGUGCAAGCGUUAAUCGGAAUGACUGGGCGUAAAGAGCACGCAGGCGGUCAAUUAAGUUGGAUGUGAAAUCCCCGGGCUUAACCUGGGAACGGCAUCCAAGACUGGUUGGCUAGAGUCUCGUAGAGGGGGGUAGAAUUCCAUGUGUAGCGGUGAAAUGCGUAGAGAUGUGGAGGAAUACCGGUGGCGAAGGCGGCCUCCUGGACGAAGACUGACGCUCAGGUGCGAAAGCGUGGGGAGCAAACAGGAUUAGAUACCCUGGUAGUCCACGCGGUAAACGAUGUCGAUUUGGAGGUUGUUCCCUUGAGGAGUGGCUUCCGGAGCUAACGCGUUAAAAUCGACCGCCUGGGGGAGUACGGACCGCAAGGUUAAAACCUCAAAUGAAUUGGACGGGGGGCCCGCAACAAGCGGUGGAGCCAUGUGGGUUUAAUUUCGAUGCAACGCGAAGAACCUUAACCUACUUCUUGACAUCCAAGAAGAAGGCCCUCAGAAGAUGGGGGUUGUGCCUUUAAGGGACUUCUG
rnacentral:rRNA from 1 species